rnacentral:rRNA from 1 species
AAAAGCCCAGCACCGAAGGCCGCAGUCGGAUACGGCUGCAGGCCAAUGUGGUGUUUAGGAGAGCCCGUUUAACCCGGUAAUGUGUAGCGUGUCCAAGUCCUUCUUGAAGGGGGCCACACACCCAUAGAGGGUGCCAGGCCCGUAGUGACCGUUACCAUGUCCGGGUGGGUUUCUCCUUAGAGUCGGGUUGCUUGAGAGUGCAGCUCUAAGUGGGUGGUAAACUCCAUCUAAGGCUAAAUAUAACCACGAGACCGAUAGCAAACAAGUACCGUGAGGGAAAGUUGAAAAGAACUUUGAAGAGAGAGUUCAAUAGUACGUGAAACCGUUCAGGGGUAAACCUGAGAAGCCCGAACAGUUCGAAAAGAGAGAUUCAAUCACCUCGCCUGCAGUAGCAUGCUGUUAACGUUACAUGGGACGUCUACGGCUUCGGCCGUUAGUCGCCCCGUUAUCAGCGCUCGUUUGCUGCAGGAGGUGUGCAUUUCUAUCUUAGUAGGAGCGUCGUAACCCAUUGAGUGCCCGUCUAAGGUCCGCUAGGUAAGCCUGUGGCGUUCUGUUUAUAGCUUAACGUUCGCAGACCUGCGGUGUCCCGACAGGUUAUACUCGAUGGAAUAAACAUCAGGUGGUGGGUCGCUGCCUUCGCGGCGAGCGUUACCCCCUGUAACGCUAGUUCUGUGUGAUACUGCGGUUUCGGACCUAUACUCGUCUCCGCACUCACUACAUUCAGUUGCAGGGAUUAUGUAACCGAUCCCGUCACCCGUUGGCGACGUAUGCGUUUCGGGUACUCUCAGGACCCGUCUUGAAACACGGACCAAGGAGUCUAGCAUGUACGCGAGUCAUUGGGUCACUGACUAAACCUAAAGGCGUAAUGAAAGUAAAAGUUUAUAUUUUUACAUGAACUAAGGGAAGAUGGGCUACCCUAUUGGUGUAGCCUCGCAUUCCCGGGCCGUCCCGUACUCAU